rnacentral:rRNA from 1 species
UACAGAGGGUGCAAGCGUUAUUCGGAAUUACUGGGCGUAAAGCGCAUGUAGGCGGUUUGGUAAGUCCGGUGUGAAAUCCCUGGGUUCAACUCAGGAAGUGCACCGGAUACUGUCAAGCUAGAGUGCGGGAGGGGGGAGUGGAAUUCCAGGUGUAGAGGUGAAAUUCGUAGAUAUCUGGAGGAACAACAGUGGCGAAGGCGACUCCCUGGACCGCAACUGACGCUGAGAUGCGAAAGCGUGGGUAGCAAACAGG